GAUGAACGCUGGCGGCGUGCCUAAUACAUGCAAGUCGAGCGAACGGACGAGAAGCUUGCUUCUCUGAUGUUAGCGGCGGACGGGUGAGUAACACGUGGAUAACCUACCUUUAAGACUGGGAUAACUUCGGGAAACCGUAGCUAAUACCGGAUAAUAUUUUGAACCGCAUGGUUCAAAAGUGAAAGACGGUCUUGCUGUCACUUAUAGAUGGAUCCGCGCUGCAUUAGCUAGUUGGUAAGGUAACGGCUUACCAAGGCAACGAUGCAUAGCCGACCUGAGAGGGUGAUCGGCCACACUGGAACUGAGACACGGUCCAGACUCCUACGGGAGGCAGCAGUAGGGAAUCUUCCGCAAAGGGCGAAAGCCUGACGGAGCAACGCCGCGUGAGUGAUGAAGGUCUUCGGAUCGUAAAACUCUGUUAUUAGGGAAGAACAUAUGUGUAAGUAACUGUGCACAUCUUGACGGUACCUAAUCAGAAAGCCACGGCUAACUACGUG
rnacentral:rRNA from 1 species